AUGUGUUAUCUGGUGUAUUGCUUAUGGAGGCAUGUGUGUGAGUUAGUAAUACGUGAUAGGUUGAAUAUAGGUGCGUUUCUAUAUUCGUAUGUAUGUGAUUAUGUUUACUAACUCUCUACCUAUUUGUUAUGUGCUGGACCUUUGGGGGUUCAGGUAUUCAGGUCGUGGUUUCGAUCGAGCUUUAGCUGUAGAUCGUUUUGGGUGUGGAGCACAAUUGUGAGGAGCUAGUGUAGGCUACCUUUGUAUAGUUUUGUUAAGUUAGUUUGGUUGUGAUGUAUAUUAGUGCUCUGGUAUGUUGUAACAUCGAGUCGGGGAUCGUUUGUAUUCCGUCGUAUAUCGAUGUGAACAUCUUAACUUAUGUUUUAUGUGGAUGAAUUAUCUUUUGAACUAU
rnacentral:lncRNA from 1 species